AGAGUUUGAUCCUGGCUCAGGAUGAACGCUGGCGGCGUGCCUAAUACAUGCAAGUCGAACGAGGUGCCUUUGUAGCAAUACGAGGGUAUCCUAGUGGCGAACGGGUGAGUAACGCGUUGGUGACCUGCCCCGAAGUGUGGGAUAACAGUCCGAAAGGACUGCUAAUACCGCAUGCGGCCAUCGGAUUUAGAAACCGAUGUCCAAAACAGCAAUGCGCUUUGGGAGGGACCUGCGUCCCAUCAGCUAGUUGGUAGGGUAACGGCCUACCAAGGCGACGACGGGUAGGGGACCUGAGAGGGUGACCCCCCACAAUGGAACUGAAAUACGGUCCAUACACCUACGGGUGGCAGCAGUAGGGAAUAUUGCACAAUGGGCGAAAGCCUGAUGCAGCAACGCCGCGUGCACGAUGAAGGUCUUCGGAUCGUAAAGUGCUUUUCUGGGAGAUGAGAAAGGACAGUAUCCCAGGAAUAAGUCUCGGCUAACUACGUGCCAGCAGCCGCGGUAAAACGUAGGAGGCAAGCGUUAUCCGGAUUCACUGGGCGUAAAGCGCGUGCAGGCGGCUCGGUAAGUUGGGCGUGAAAUCUCCUGGCUUAACUAGGAGAGGCCGUCCAAUACUACCGGGCUAGAGAGCAGUAGAGGAAGAUGGAAUUCCCGGUGUAGUGGUGAAAUGCGUAGAUAUCGGGAGGAACACCAGUGGCGAAGGCGAUCUUCUGGACUGUUUCUGACGCUCAGACGCGAAACCUAGGGUAGUAAACGGGAUUAGAGACCCCGGUAAUCCUAGCCGUAAACGAUGUGAACUUGGCGUCGGUAGCUUAAACACUAUCGGUGCCGUAGCAAACGCGAUAAGUUCACCGCCUGGGGACUACGAUUGCAAGAUUAAAACUCCAAGGAAUUGACGGGGGCCCGCACAAGCAGCGGAGCGUGUGGUUUAAUUCGAUGCUACACGAAGAACCUUACCUGGGCUUGACAUGCAAGUGUAGGGAUCCGAAAGGUGACCGACCCGCAAGGGAGCUUGCACAGGUGUUGCAUGGCUGUCGUCAGCUCGUGUCGUGAGAUGUUCGGUUAAGUCCGCUAACGAGCGCAACCCUUGCUGUAUGUUACAUGUGUCAUACGGGACCGCCGGUAUUAAGCCGGAGGAAGGUGGGGAUGACGUCAAGUCAGCACGGCCUUUAUGUCCAGGGCUACACACACGCUACAAUGGGCAGUACAAUGGGUCGCUAAGCCGCGAGGUGGAGCCAAUCCCCAAAGCUGUCCUCAGUUCAGAUCGCAGGCUGCAACCCGCCUGCGUGAAGUCGGAGUUGCUAGUAAAUGCGCGUCAGCUAUAGCGCAUUGAAUACGUUCUCGGGCCUUGUACACACGGCCCGUCACGUCAUGGGAGCUGGUAACACCUGAAGCCGGUAGUCUAACCGCAAGGAGGACGCCGUCGAAGGUGGUGCUGGUGACUGGGACGAAGUCGUAACAAGGUAGGAGUACCGGAAGGUGCGGCUGGAUCACCUCCUU
rnacentral:rRNA from 1 species